rnacentral:rRNA from 1 species
GCAGCAGGCGCGAAACCUUUACACUGCGCGACAGCGCGAUAAGGGGACUCCAUCUGCGAGGGCAUAUCGUCCUCGCUUUUUCCUACCGUAAGGUGGUAGGCGAAUAAGGGCUGGGCAAGACCGGUGCCAGCCGCCGCGGUAAUACCGGCAGCCCGAGUGAUGACCGCUCUUAUUGGGCCUAAAGCGUCCGUAGCUGGCCUCGCAAGUCCAUCGGGAAAUCCGCGCGCUCAACGCGCGGGCGUCCGGUGGAAACUGCGUGGCUUGGGACCGGAAGACCCGAGGGGUACGUCUGGGGUAGGAGUGAAAUCCCGUAAUCCUGGACGGACCACCGGUGGCGAAAGCGCCUCGGGAGGACGGAUCCGACGGUGAGGGACGAAAGCCAGGGUCACGAACCGGAUUAGAUACCCGGGUAGUCCUGGCCGUAAACGAUGUCUGCUAGGUGUGCCACAGGCUACGAGCCUGUGAUGUGCCGUAGGGAAGCCGUGAAGCAGACCGCCUGGGGAGUACGUCCGCAAGGAUGAAACUUAAAGGAAUUGGCGGGGGAGCACUACAACC